rnacentral:misc_RNA from 1 species
GAUGAAGAACGUAGCGAAAUGCGAUACUUGGUGUGAAUUGCAGAAUCCCGUGAACCAUCGAGUCUUUGAACGCAAGUUGCGCCCGAAGCCAUCAGGUUGAGGGCACGUCUGCCUGGGCGUCACAUAUCGUUGCUCGAUGCCUAUCGCAUUGCGAUAGGACUUAGGGCGAAUGAUGGCUUCCCGUGAGCGUUGUUGCCUCGCGGUUGGUUGAAAAUCGAGUCCUUGGUAGGGUGUGCCAUGAUAGAUGGUGGUCGAGUUAGAACGAGACCGAUCAUGUGCAUGCUCCCCAAAAUAUGGCCUCUGUGACCCACACGCGUCUUUUGACGCUCAUGAUGAGACCUCAGGUCAGGCGGGGCUACCCGCUGAAUUUAAGCAUAUCAAUAAGCGGAGGA